CUUAUAAAUUAUAAAUAUUUUGAAGGUUAAGUUGGACAAUAAAAAAUUUUGGGAUUUAUUUAUAUAUUUUUGGAAGUUGAGGAUUUACUUGUAUGUUGUAAUUAGAUUUAAGGGACUUUCUUUGCAAUUGAACAUGUGGGACUUUAUAUUCAACCUUUGACCAACAUUUUCUCUCAAAAACCCACACUCACACACACUAAAAAAGGGGCAGCAAGCUGGAAGGGCGAGAAAGAGAGAAAAACUUGGGGAAAAAGGAAGAAAAAAAGAGAAAGAAGGAAGAAAAGAAGAAAAGGGAAGAAGAGGAAGUAAGGUAAGGUUAAUCUCUUCAAGUUUGGGAUGAAUUUUUCCAUUUGUUUCAAGUGAUGAAAUAUGAUUUAUGUUAAAUUUUUAGGAUUUUAACUUGGAGUAAUACAAUGUCAAAUUUAGGUGAUAUAUGUACGAUUUGGUGCUCAAGCUUGGGGAUUAAUUAAGUUUCAGUAGGCAGUAAAAUUUUUGGGGAAACCCUACAAUUCAAUUUUGGAUUUUUGAUUAAUUAAUUGUGGAAAUGAUUAUAUAAAUGGAAUAUUUUACUUGGGAGUUGAUUUUAUGAAACAAAAUGUAUAUUAAAUGGAUGGAAUUAUGGUUACUAGUUUCACUAGAUUGGAGAGUAAAAUUAGUUUUAAACUUGGGAAGAAGGUUUUGUUGAUGAAUUAGUUAUUAGAAAAAGGAUUAGAAAGUGGGAUUAGCUCCAAUUGAUCAAAAGAAUAUUUGGAAAAUUCAUUCGAGCAUCGACCAAUUUUAGUUAAGUAUUAUAGAAGUAGAUCUUAAAGUUUCGUAAUUUAAUAGUGGUUGAUUAGUCAUCUUGUUAUGUAUUUCAGGUGGUGUCGAGGUAUUGAGGAGAUUGGAAGAGCCUACCGACCAUCUUAGAUAGUAGCUGAGUUGAGCACUACUGGGCCAGUUGUUCUAUCGUGUUGAGCCAUAGAUUGUUAAGCAUUGUAUGAAUCAUCUUUUCAGUUUAAUAGUUCAUAUUUUGGGAUAAACACCUCUUUUGGUCAAAAAUUAGUUCUAUGUGUUGGGCAUGCUAUGUUUUGUAUAUAUAUUAUGCAUUUUGGGUACUAUGGUUUAUAAAUUGUUGCAAAAGUCGAAUUGUCAGUGUUGUAUUUGAAUAGAUGAUAUUAUGUGGGUCAGUGUACCCUAUUUUAAACUAUAUAUAACUAUUUGGGAUAUUGAAUUAUAUGUUUCAAGUGGUUUUAGUC